UGCUAAAGCCCCAAUUGAAGCAAGUCUAGUUUUACUUGGGUUCAGGAAUCUCCCAUCUCACUAAAGCUCCUUUUUAGUUUAAAAGGAGUUAUUUGCUUGUAUCAAACUUAUAUAUAUUCAGAGACUAAUUGCUAGUCUCGGAUGGUCCUGUUAGACGUGGAAAUCAUAUCCAAUCCAGUUUAUGCCUGACAAUUAUGAACGGGAUCAAGAGACGUUGAGCUUGGCAGAGGAGAAUUGUGAUCUUCGAAUUGAAGAAUCAGAGGAGGAGUCUCUGAGGCAUUCCAAAGAGAGGAAGGGAAUUCAGAUGUAGUAUCUGUGAGAAGGUACUAAAAUGUAAAGGUGGAUAUACUGUUCAUCAGCAGAUGCACUGGAAGUCAACAGGUACCAACAGUUUUUAGUAGUUUCUUUCUAGAUAUCAAGAUAAGUGAACACCCAUAACAUAUCAUAUCAUGAUACAAAGUCAAGAAUGUGUUUAGCACGACCGCUUUUCUAUAUAUUAUUGUCAGGUCAUUAGUAAAACAAUCAAG